rnacentral:lncRNA from 1 species
ACAAGACUCACCAACUUGAACCAUUAAACAGCAACAACCAAAUAACAGAGCAGCUCAAGGAACAAUUCAUAACUAAUGCUAUACAGAUCCAACAAAAAUGAAUGAGGACAUUCUGGAAAGUUUAUGAAAUUGUUUACAUUUCAUCUUUAGACCUCACAGCAAGAUUCACAAGGUAAACAGGUCAACUAAACAAAGUUUCAGGUUCCGUUCCAGAAAAAACAGAGAGCACCUAGUUCUGGAACUCAAAUUAAAAGAGCCAUAACUUUUAAACUACUGGAC